CUUUCAGGAGGCAGUGGCAGUGAACGGGUGAAACACUGGGUGAGAGGAGGCUGUCAUCAUUAUCAUAACGUGAGGAGCAGAGAGGGAGGAUGGGAUGAAGCGACGGAAUUUGUGCAGAAUGACACACAGCUGUCACGGGAGGAGAUGCAGAGCACUGUAUCUGGAGUCACGGCAGCAUAGGACCGAGAGCAGUUGUGGCUGGCCAAAGAGAACCUGAUGGUGAAGCUUCAGGCUUGUUGUCGAGGCUGUCUUGUUUGUCAGGAAUUCAACUCCAGAAUGAGGUUUUUGACAAAGCAAGUUCCAGCCAUCACUUGCAUGCAGUCCCAGUGGCGUGGCUAUAAACAGAGGAAGGCAUAUCAAAUCCGUUUGGAUUACUGACGAGCACACAAGGACCGAGAAGUGAAGAUUGAGUCACUGGCCAGGAUGUAUCAAGGCAGAAGGCGUUGCAGAGAUCACUUGCAAUAAUUCAG